rnacentral:rRNA from 1 species
UACGAAGGGGGCUAGCGUUGCUCGGAAUCACUGGGCGUAAAGCGCACGUAGGCGGUUUGCUAAGUCAGGGGUGAAAUCCUGGAGCUCAACUCCAGAACUGCCUUUGAUACUGGCGGACUUGAGUCCGGGAGAGGUGAGUGGAACUGCGAGUGUAGAGGUGAAAUUCGUAGAUAUUCGCAAGAACACCAGUGGCGAAGGCGGCUCACUGGCCCGGUACUGACGCUGAGGUGCGAAAGCGUGGGAG